CCAGCAUCUGUAAACUACAUUUACUGAGUGCUUACUGGGCACAUCAGAUACAAAAGAGUUGGGACUGGGGCAGCUUCUAAUUUUUCUCUGGUUUUCACUUCAAGUUCUGCAAAUUCUGUUUCAUGCUUAUAGGCUCCUAAGGUUCAAAUUCGGCCAUUCUCUUGAACAUACUGUCCUACGGAAGAAGCCGCCGCUGCCAGGGAAAGAGACUGGGGCCAGCGGACUCGCCGCUGUGCUCCUCCCGCGCGGGCCCAAGGAGGAGGGUUUCUGGCCGAAGGAAGACGAGUCAGCAGUGCUCAGGGUGCUGAGGAAUCACCAACGCCUCACGGCAGAGGGCGUCACGGAAGCCCAUUCAGCCCCACGCAAGACGGGAAAGGUGGCGGCUACAAGGUAAUUUUUAAAAUUUGGAGGUAGAUAAGAUUGCGAUUUUUUUUUUUUUGAAUGUGGAUGACUGUGCAGAAAAGAGUUAUCAUUAACACAGUGGUCUGAGAUUGCUAUCCUUAGAAAGGUCUGCUUCCAAGGUUGGCCCUUGGCUGGUGGCUGGGAA